rnacentral:ncRNA from 2 species
AAAAUAUGAUUCUUUAAAAGUGCCUGAUGAGAUCAGGAUAAUAGGGAAACCGGUUAGAAUCCGGUGCAGCCCCCGCUACUGUAAGCGCAGAUUCAGUUGAGAUGCCACUGACUUUUUAAGUUGGGAAGGUUCAACUGGAAAUGAAGCGUGAAGCCAGGAAACCUGCUUUUAAAGAUUGAUUGCU